AACGCGAAGAACCUUACCAGCUCUUGACAUGCCCGGUCUGGGUGGGAGAGAUCUCAUCCGUCGGUUCGGCCGGCCGGGACACAGGUGCUGCAUGGCUGUCGUCAGCUCGUGUCGUGAGAUGUUGGGUUAAGUCCCGCAACGAGCGCAACCCUCAUCUGCAGUUGCCAGCGGGUAAUGCCGGGGACUCAUAGGAGACUGCCGGGGUCAACUCGGAGGAAGGUGGGGAUGACGUCAAGUCCUCAUGCCCCUUAUGUCUUGGGCUGCAAACAUGCUACAAUGGCCAGUACAAAGGGUUGCGAGACCGCAAGGUGGAGCGAAUCCCAAAAAGCUGGUCUCAGUUCGGAUUGGGGUCUGCAACUCGACCCCAUGAAGUCGGAGUCGCUAGUAAUCGCAGAUCAGCAACGCUGCGGUGAAUACGUUCCCGGGCCUUGUACACACCGCUACAGU
rnacentral:rRNA from 1 species